rnacentral:tRNA from 3 species
GUUUUAAUAGUUUUAAGAAAAACGUCGGUCUUGUAAACCGAAAAUGAGAAAGUCCCCCACUUUUAAAACU